CGGAAUGUAGCGCAGCUUGGUAGCGCACUUGUCUGGGGGAUAAGUGGUCGCAGGUUCAAAUCCUGCCAUUCCGA
rnacentral:tRNA from 1 species